rnacentral:rRNA from 1 species
AUCCACUGCUAUCGGGGUAAGGCUAAGCCAUGCAAGUCGAAGGCCUCCGGCUCCGGGGGCCUGGCGUACGGCUGAGUAACGCGUGGCCAACCUGCCCCGCGGAGGGGGAUAACCCCGGGAAACUGGGGAUAAACCCCCAUAGGUGACCGGGUCUGGAAGGACCGGACGCCGAAAGUCCCGGUCGGGGAUGCUCCGGCCGGGAGCCGCAGGAUGGGGCUGCGUCCUAUCAGGUAGUUGGUGGGGUAACGGCCCACCAAGCCUGUGACGGGUAGGGGCCCUGAGAGGGGGAGCCCCCAGAUGGACUCUGAGACAAGAGUCCAGGCCCUAC